GGGAGGAGGAAGCAGACGGAACGCUGGAGAACAGAGGGGAAAACCUCCCUCUCUCUUUAGCGUUCCGUCUGCUUCUUCCUCCCC
rnacentral:pre_miRNA from 1 species